rnacentral:rRNA from 1 species
CGGUACAUCGGUGACAGGUGGUGCAUGGUUGUCGUCAGGCUCGUGUCGUGAGAUGUUGGGUUAAGUCCCGCAACGAGCGCAACCCCUAUUGUUAGUUGCCAUCAUUCAGUUGGGCACUCUAGCGAGACUGCCGGUAAUAAACCGGAGGAAGGUGGGGAUGACGUCAAAUCAUCAUGCCCCUUAUGACCUGGGCUACACACGUGCUACAAUGGUUGGUACAACGAGUUGCGAGUCGGUGACGGCGAGCUAAUCUCUUAAAGCCAAUCUCAGUUCGGAUUGUAGGCUGCAACUCGCCUACAUGAAGUCGGAAUCGCUAGUAAUCGCGGAUCAGCACGCCGCGGUGAAUACGUUCCCGGGCCUU